rnacentral:rRNA from 1 species
GCCGCGGUAUCCUAACCGUGCAAAGGUAGCGCAAUCAAUUGUCCCAUAAAUCGAGACUAGUAUGAAUGGCUAAACGAGGUCUUAACUGUCUCUUGCAGGCAAUCGGUGAAAUUGAUCCCCCUGUACAAAAGCAGGGAUAAACCCAUAAGACGAGAAGACCCUGUGGAACUUCAAAACCAGCGGCCACCCCAAUAAGACACAAACACCCACCGGGUUCACCCACAUAUUGGGACGCUGGCCCGCGUUUUUCGGUUGGGGCGACCUUGGAGAAAAACAAAUCCUCCAAAAAUUGGACCAUCCCUCUAGACUAAGAGCAACCCCUCAACGUGCUAACAGCAACCAGACCCAAUACAAUUGACCAAUGGACCAAGCUACCCCAGGGAUAACAGCGCA